GAGAGCUAGAGAGGACCAUUUUCUUUGAUCUCUGUUGAUUUAUGUUGUUUGCAGUUAGGCACAGGACAAAACACCACUUCCCCCAGAGAAUUUUAGUGUUCCAUUUUCCACAGUUUAUUCCCCAUUUCCUUCAGGAUCUGACUUUUAGCCAUCAUCAUCUGUCUUCAUUGUGAAACUUUGUGUAAAUAGUGGCACAAGCCCUCGGCAUGUCCUACUCUGCACAAUCAGAGCCAAGGAGAAGAGUCAUGAACUCAGCUCUUGGCUCUGCUACCUGCUCACUCUUACAUGCAUCGGCUCCAAAAUUAUUGUCUCUUACACAUGCAGCACACUGCCAUGUCCAGGUUAUCAGCUUUGAAGGAGCAGCAACCUGCCCCUAUACCAACUAAAGUCAGCCUAGGUGAAGGUCAGAUCUGUCAUGCUGAUCUAUUUAUAAUUUGAGAGACACUGCAAAGAACUUGGUGGGCAGAACACUGGUGGGGAAGAUGGAGUUGACAGAACUGAGCCAUCUUUUGUAGAACUUGAACUUUCUUGUAAGGGAAUUUUGUUUUGUGUUUGAAUUCAGGGCAUGUCUGAGUGGAAGUGUUACUCAAUACAGCAAACACCAUAUGGAAGAGUGGGUUCCUUCACCCUAAAACACUGUGCAACUCUGACACUUUGACUACACUUCUUCAUGCCAUGGACUCACCUCUGUGAUCCUCUCCCUUUCCUCCUGCUUGCCCAGUUUCAGGUCUGGAACAAUUCCUGUUGGCAGCCUCCUUUACACCAGAAUGCUGAAUAUUUCAGGCAGGCUGGUAAAUCUUCACUUUUUGGAUAAGAAAACUUGUAUAUAGAAAAAUGAAAUUUCAUGGCACUGCCCCAUGUGUUUUUCAGAGCUGUAGUUUGCUGUUGCCUGAGCCCCUGUUAGUUGAAAAUCUUAGGAGGGGUUCAGGAACUUCACACACCCAGGGUGCCUCUGCACUUUGUUCACACUGAUUCAAUUAAUUUGUUUCCUCUGAAGAACUGGACAGGCUUUCUCCAGAUUUGGUGCUGCACAUUAAUGCUCAUGCAUAAUGUGGCUUAAAGAAAAGAUGAAUUGGUGAGCAGUCUAGAAACCUGAGGCACAUUGCCCUUUUGAGUAAUGAUUCUGCAUAUGGAAAGGAGAGGAAAACAUUGCCAUAGGGCCUCUAUGACCUGUUCAUGGGUAAAUAAUUAUUUAGAAAACACUGAUUUGGAAUGAAAAGUCAGCUCAAAGGCCUGAUGGUUAUACAGCAGUCCACAGGGUUAAUCUGGGAAGGCUGUGAAAUCAGUCAAAAAUCAAAUUAAUCCCUAAACAAAACUGGCCUGGUGAAGUUUUUAUUUUGAGAAAUAGAAAGAAAAACAAAACGUUGAUUGCUGUGGGUGGAGAAAAGCAUCCUUCAGGCUUUUGACAUUUUUAAGAUGCAAUGUUACAUCAGAUUAAUUAAGCCCAAUUCUCUAUAUAUGCACAGGAACAAUAUUCUUGUGAGUGGUGAGUGGGUAAGUUCUCUGAGCAUUUUCAGGACAUGGAAGACUUUAAAAUGGACUCAUCUAAAUUUUUAUGGCAUGCCAUAUAAGCCAGCCAAGUUGGAGAAUUGGGCAAGGCACCUAGGAAGUCAGUGGCCUCACACUAAUCUUUAUUAUCUUAGAUGUUUCCUUUUCCCAGCUCCUCUUUCCCAACUGAAAAAUGCCAAGGUUCAACUGAAAGUGUCAGUUUUACUUAUCCUCAGUUUAGAGUUUAGAUUUCUUUGUAAUAAGAUAUAGUUGACUCAACUUCAGCCUUUGUGAGAGGAAGAUGGUUCCUUCUACUGUUUUUAUCCACAAAGUGUCAAGGAAAAGGCGACUUCAUAGAAGAGGUAGGGUAUGGCAGACAGGAAGGAGCAACCGCUUACUAAAAGAAGCUUCCAGUGGGCAGGCCGGGACAUAAUGAAUAAAAGCAGGAAGUAGAUUCAUAAUUAAAUGUCUUUGGAUGGGAAGAAGCAGCUUCAUGAGGACUAGGACUAGGUUAUGCAUGGCCUGCUCUGGUCCAACUGAGUUGAAUGAAACCAAGAUAGAAGGCAUCCCUGAAAGGAUGCAGUGGGCAGGGGAAAAUGGAUUUAUGUCAUCCAUUUUAUGGGGAUUGUGUUUGACCUAGUCAUUCCAAUUUGUUGAAAACUGGCUGGAUGGUCUGGCCCAGAGAGUGGUGUUGAGUGGAACUAAAUCCAUUUGGCAGUAAAUCGCCAGUGGUGUUCCAAAGGACUCAGCUUCUGGGCUGGUGGCUGGUCCUGUUUAACAUCUUUAUUGAUGAUUUGGACAAAGGGGCUGAGUGCAUCCCUGGUUAGUUUGCAGAUAACAUCAGGUUAGGUGGGACUGUUGGUUUGCUGGAGGGCAGGAAGGCUGUACAGAGAGGUGUCCAUGGACUAGAUCAAUGGGAUGGGGCCAGCUGUGUGACCUUCAGUAAGGCAAAGCACCGGGUCCUGCACCUGACUCACAAGAGCCCAAGUCAGCACUACAGGCUUUGGACAGAGUGGCUUGAGAGCUGUCACUCUGAGAGAGCAGAAGGGGUAUUGAGGGUACUAGCUGACAGCCACUGAACACAAACCAGGGUGUACCCAGGUGGCCAAGAAGGCCAAUGGCACCCUGGCCUGUAGCAGCAAUAGUGUGGCCAGAAUGACCCAGAUUUUCCCCCUGUACUCAGCACUGGUGAGGCCAUGUCUCAAAAUCUGUGUUCAGUUCUGGGCACCUCACUUCAAAAAGGACAUUGAGGGUCUGGAGCAUGUACAAAGCAGGGCAACAAAGUUGGUGAGGGGUGUAGAAAACCUGUCCUUUGAGAACUGGGUGAGGGAGCCUGAAGAAAAGGAGGCUCAGGGGGGGACCACAUUGGUCUCUACCACUGCCUGAAAGGUGGUUAUAGUGAGGUUGGGAUCAUCUCUUCUGCUACAUAUCAAGUGAAAGGACAAGAGGAGACAGCCUUAAGUUGCCAGAGGGGAGGUUCCAACUAGAUAUUAGAAAUAAAAAAAAAAUAAUUCAAAGAGUGGCUAAGCCUUAAAUAAAGUUGCCCAUGGACAUGGUGGAGUCACAUCCCUGGAAGUGUUGGAGAGACUUCUGGCAGGUGGGGAUCAGGUUUAUGGGUAACUGUGGCAGUGCUGGGUUGACGGUUGGACUAAAUGACAUUCAAGGUCUCUUCCAGCCCUGAAAAUUCUGAAAUUAAGAAUUCUCAUUUAUAGUCUAGUAAACUACAGUUGUUUUUUGUUCCAAAAACCUUUCUUUUGAGAGGCUCUGAAUAAGGGAGGUUUACCUGCUGAAUUGGGAUCUCAUAACACAAGAAAUCUCUUUCAUUGCAAGAUUAUUUGAAGUUAUUGGAAUGAAAAGUCCCACAGAAAUCUGACAUAGUGAUUAUUGACCUGCUGAAUACUUCCUCAGGUCUAGAAGCCCAUUUCCUGUGCUCAUAUGCGGCUCCUCCCAGCUGAUGAGAGCCUUGCUGAAUUUUGCAGAGAUUGUAGGAAGUUAUUCCUUGAAGGCAUUCUCUUCUCCUCUAUUUAAGCUAAGUACAAGCAAAAGCAGUGACGAUUCUGCUUGUGUUGACUGCAAUGGAAAUAUCAUCCAUUAAUUAAACCACUAAAAUUAUCUUCUGUCCUUUGAUCCUUAUUUGUACCCACCUGUCCCUUUGUUAUAUCUUUCCUAGCACCGAAGAGAAGGCUCAUCUGCUGCUCCUGCAUCUCUGGAGGUGGGCAGCUCACUGCAUGGUGCUGCUAUGGAAUGGUUUCCACCAACUCCAGGUCCCAGUGGGCAUAAACUUCUUUUCCUGCUCAUUUCUGAAGAAGUCAGUACACUAAAUUCCCAAAAUAUAGUCUGAGCCUACAAAGACAUCAAGAUCCUAGUAACUGGAACAUACUGUUUAAGUCAGUGGGAAUUCUGGAAGUCUCUUCACACCCAAAAUCACUCAUUGAUUCCCACAAGAAGGAGGAAGAUAUGCUGAUGACAGCAUGUUCAUGCCUGUGUAUUCAACCAAUGUGUUGGACUAGGGAUCCAUGCCAGACACAGCUCUACUUUGCAGCACUUGGCCAUGCAAAGUGAUGUUCCCAAACAGGGCAUUGGAGGAGACUCAGCUCAGCAAAGCUGCAGGUAGAGCAGAACUCGUUGCCACUGUUUUCCAUAUGUUCCUCUCUAUGGGGGCCUGACUGGACCUCGACCUGAGGAAGAUGCUGAAUGGAAAUUUAAUGGAGAAGCAAGUUCCACCCCCAGGUAAAAAGCUUCCAGUGUGGCCUGUACAAUCAAAGUAUUUCAGCUGUUUAGCAAGUAUGCCUUUUUCCUCUUUCCUCGACAUUCCAUCUUAUGGGGUGAACCUUGAAUCACCACAAUUUUAUGGUGACAAUAAAAGGAUAGUCUCUCAA